GGCGGGCACAUGCUGAGCGGCGCUGCGGGGGCACCGAACCGAGCGGGCAGCUGGACGCAGACGGGUGCACGCGGCAGAAUAUCACUGUAGAAGAAAUCAUCAUCGCAGGCAGAUAUCUUGGAGCAGAGUGAAGCCCUGCGUUUACUCGAGGCUUGCCCUAAGCGUUGUCUGUAAGUGCUCUCCUUGGGCACGUUUAAAUCCCCUGGACCUUCCCAGCAGAUGAGCUGAUUCUAGUCCACCCUGUGUCAAAGCAGCCCACGGUUGACUGACUCACCAGCUGAAAUUCCAGGAAGAGGAACCACAAACCCUAGACGCUAUAGAAUGAAACCUUCAUCAGAUUUCUUGAUGAACAAAGUCUAUUGAACCAGGCAAGCUUCCUGCUGAAGAGAGAGGACAGUCAUAAUGCUGAGAGUAUCUACUGUGUCUGAGGUACUGGGCCAGGAACUUCAGAGGCUACAAAACAGAAUGAGAAUGGGUCUCACGUCUUAAGUGGCUCAUGCUCUAGUGAAGGAGACAACAGUGCAACUCAAGGCAUCGUGAUCAAGAGCUACAGUAGAGAUGUCCAUAAAGCCUCGGGGGAAAGGGAGAUGAAUGCUAACUCUGUGUGAUCUCAGUCUUCAUGGUGUCUUAGCUGAGCCUUGAAUCCUGUGAUUAUGUAGAAGCGUCUUUUAGGAGGACACAGCUGGAACAAAAGGCACAAAAUGCAAGAUGGAGAAUUUGAUCCUGUUUUUUUAAGCUGAAGGGAAGGUGCCCAGGAGAGGAAGAGAUUAAUGGUUCAGGAGAAAAAUGGGAUGCCUGAUGGCACAGGAAGUGAUUGGAUCAAACCCACAGUUGGUCUUUUUGUGUGUUUUUUCUUUUUUUGUGUGGACGUGUUUGCUGGUGCAAUGGCUUAAAGCAGAGAUAACAAGUCUACUACAAACGAAAGUGCAUGAUUAUCAUGGUUUGCAGAUGAUAUGUUUACUGUUCUAAAACAGAGAUUCUCAGCCCUUUUCCACACAUGGCCCUUAAAGAAAAUGAUAGUAUCUAUAAGAUAUAUUGGAGUAAGCCAUAGGGGAUUUGGAGGCAAUUUUCUGUGGCUUGGUGAAAAAAUUUU